AUCCUACUUGGGGAGAUUUUAUUCAUUCCGAAUUCUUUAAUUCGGAAUGAAAGGGUUCGCUUUGACCGUUAA